rfam:Populus trichocarpa scaffold_6_contig_56, whole genome shotgun sequence.
GUGUCCCCUAGAGUUCCCUUGAGCACUUCACUGGGACCCUUCAGACCGAAAGAGUAUUAUCUUUCCCACUGAAGUGUUUGGGGGAACUCCUGGUGUCAU